rnacentral:rRNA from 1 species
GAUGAACGCUGGCGGCGUGCCUAAUACAUGCAAGUCGAGCGAACGGACGAGAAGCUUGCUUCUCUGAUGUUAGCGGCGGACGGGUGAGUAACACGUGGAUAACCUACCUAUAAGACUGGGAUAACUUCGGGAAACCGUAGCUAAUACCGGAUAAUAUUUUGAACCGCAUGGUUCAAAAGUGAAAGACGGUCUUGCUGUCACUUAUAGAUGGAUCCGCGCUGCAUUAGCUAGUUGGUAAGGUAACGGCCUACCAAGGCAACGAUGCAUAGCCGACCUGAGAGGGGGAUCGGCGACACUGGAACUGAGACACGGUCCAGACUCCUACGGGAGGCAGCAGUAGGGAAUCUUACGCAAUGGGCGAAAGCCUGACGGAGCAACGCCGCGUGAGUGAUGAAGGUCUUCGGAUCGUAAAACUCUGUUAUUAGGGAAGAACAUAUGUGUAAGUAACUGUGCACAUCUUGACGGUACCUAAUCAGAAAGCCACGGCUAACUACGUG